rnacentral:snRNA from 1 species
AUACUUACCUGGACCGGUUGCACGGUGCUCAAGAAGGUCGUGCAACAUCCAGCAGCUGCAGGCCUUGCACUUCGCUUUGCGGCUCUGGGUUCAUGGCUCUUCGGGGUCAUGAAGGUCAUAAUUUUUCAAGCCCGUUGCUGGCGUUCGCGCCGCCUCGGG